rnacentral:rRNA from 1 species
UACCAGCACCCCGAGUGGUCGGGACGAUCAUUGGGCCUAAAGCAUCCGUAGCCGGCCUUACAAGUCCUCCGUUAAAUCCAGCUGCUUAACAGAUGGGCUGCGGAGGAUACUAUAAGACUAGGAGGCAGGAGAGGCAAGCGGUACUCAGUGGGUAGGGGUAAAAUCCGUUGAUCCAUUGAAGACCACCAGUGGCGAAGGCGGCUUGCCAGAAUGCGCUCGACGGUGAGGGAUGAAAGCUGGGGGAGCAAACCGG